GACUGUCUAGUAACAACAUAGGUGACCGCAAAUCCGCAAGGACUCGUACGGUCACUGAAUCCUGCCCAGUGCGGGUAUCUGAACACCUCGUACAAGAGGACGAAGGACCCGUCAACGGCGGGGGUAACUAUGACCCUCUUAAGGUAGCGUAGUACCUUGCCGCUUCAGUAGCGGCUUGCAUGAAUGGAUAAACGAGAGCGCCACUGUCCCAACGUUGGACCCGGUGAACUGUACGUUCCAGUGCGGAGUCUGGAGACCCCCAAGGGGAAGCGAAGACCCUAUAGAGCUUUACUGCAGGCUGUCGCUGAGACGUGGUCG
rnacentral:ncRNA from 1 species